GGAGAUACAGAGUUAACAGGUCAAGAAGAACUGACGGAGAUAACUGAAGUUGACGAGGGAUUUUAUUCCAGGGCUGCGUCUAGCACCAGCCAGUCGGGUCUAUCAAUCAGUAGUCACAAUUGUAGUCACAAGACAAGUGUAGGAAAGAACCAGAGACGGUCGGGAGGAAGCAAAGCUGGAGCAAAGGAGAGAGAAACUGCAGGGGAAUCUUGCAGAGAUCACUUUGCUCGCAAACAAACCCAGAGAGCCCAGAGCGAGAACCUUGAGCUUCUCUCUCUGAAGAGACUGACCUUGACCUCCAGCCAGUCCCUGCCCAAGCCCAGCAGCCACGGCUUGGCUCAGACUGCGGCCACUGUAUUUAGUAAAUCCUUUGAACAAGUGAGUGGGGUCCCAGG
rnacentral:lncRNA from 1 species